rnacentral:lncRNA from 1 species
CUCAUUCAUGAUUUUAGAAUUAUUUUUUCAUGUUCUUUAUCUCACAGAUUUAGGGUCAUGUAGGUUGGCGGAAUUUAUGUCCGGCUGUUUCUUAAAGAUCCAAAAUUUCCUUUGAGAAAUCCAAAGAGAUUCUUGGAAGGACUGCUGGAUCAGUAUUUGUCAUCAAUUGCUGCCACACAUUAUGACACCCAAGCUAUUGACCCAGAGCUUCCUUUGCUUCUCUCUGCUGCUUUGGUUUCAUUAUUGCGAGUACACCCUGCUCUUGCAGACCACGUCGGAUAUCUUGGUUAUGUGCCCAAACUUGUGGCUGCUGUGGCUUAUGAGGGAAGACGAGAAACCAUGUCAACGGAGGAGGUGAAAAAUGGUAACUCUGAAGCAGAUAGAACAUAUGAAUCGGAUGAUGGAUCUGCGCAGCCUGUACAAACUCCUCAAGAACGUGUCCGCCUUAGUUGUUUGCGGGUCUUGCAUCAACUUGCUGCUAGUACUACCUGUGCGGAAGCUAUGGCUGCUGCUGUACGGCCAAGGCGGAUGUACGGUACAGCAGUUUUAAUUUAUGAUCUGAAGGAUUCAAAUGGCUUUUUAUACGAGGCAUUAUCAAAGGAACUUUAUGUUGGCAAUGUUUACUUGAGGGUCUAUAAUGAUCAGCCUGAUUUUGAGAUCACUGAACCAGAAGCCUUCUGUGUUGCUUUAAUUGAUUUUAUAUCGUAUCUUGUGCACAAUCAAUCUGCUACAAAGUCAGAUGUCCAGGGUGAAGAAAGUCUGGAUGGCUUAUCCUCGAAGAUUGUUCAGGAUAAACUUAGUCUUGAUCCCUCAUCCUCAAAGACGUUUGAGCUUCCAAGUGAUGCUACUGAUUCAUCAAUGAAUGAACGGAAAGUUAAUGAUGAGUCCUUAGCCGUAUCUGACAGAAAAGUGACUGGCAAGGAAGAUUCUGUAAUGAUUAAAAAUCUUCAGUUUGGUUUGACCUCACUUCAGGUACGGUUGUGUUUUGCGCAUUCAAGUUGUUAACAAUUCAUUGUAUAUGAUUUUGUUUCUUUUUUUCCCUUUUUUUUUUUUUUUUUUGCAUUUCCAAUUCGCAGAACAUAUUGACAAGCAAUCCAAAUUUGGCAUCCAUAUUUUCUACCAAAGAAAAGCUAUUGCCUCUUUUUGAAUGCUUUUCUGUGCCAUUUGCACCAGACAGCAACAUUCCUCAGCUUUGCCUGAAUGUGCUGUCUCUCUUGACAACAUGCGCUUCCUGCUUGGAGGCUAUGGUGGCAGAUGGAUCUAGUCUUCUCCUUUUAUUACAGAUGCUUCAUUAUGCACCAGCUUGUCGUGAGGGGGUUCUUCAUGUUCUUUAUGCUUUGGCAAGCACGCCAGAACUUGCUUGGGCAGCUGCCAAGCAUGGUGGAGUGGUUUACAUUCUUGAACUUCUCCUGCCUUCACAACGUAAUGAAUUUAUUCUUGUGCCUUAUUUUUUUCCCAAUCUUAUCUUUUGAAAAGCAAUUUAUUUGUUAAUAUAAUUGGUGAUGUGCAGAAGAAAUUCCAUUGCAGCAAAGAGCUGCAGCAGCCUCUUUAUUGGGGAAGCUUGUUGGGCAACCAAUGCAUGGGCCUAGAGUUGCUAUAACACUAGCAAGGUUUCUCCCAGAUGGUCUGGUAUCAGUUAUAAGAGAUGGUCCUGGCGAAGCUGUUGUAUCAGCACUUGAACAGACUACGGAAACCCCAGAACUUGUAUGGACACCAGCGAUGGCAGCUUCUCUAUCUGCACAGAUUUCAACGAUGGCAUCUGACCUAUAUCGUGAACAAAUGAAAGGACGUGUUGUUGAUUGGGAUGUACCUGAGCAGGCAUCUGCACAGCAAGAAAUGAGAGAUGAGCCUCAGGUUCACUUGUUCAUGCUCAUUCAUGAUUUUAGAAUUAUUUUUUCAUGUUCUUUAUCUCACAGAUUUAGGGUCAUGUAGGUUGGCGGAAUUUAUGUCCGGCUGUUUCUUAAAGAUCCAAAAUUUCCUUUGAGAAAUCCAAAGAGAUUCUUGGAAGGACUGCUGGAUCAGUAUUUGUCAUCAAUUGCUGCCACACAUUAUGACACCCAAGCUAUUGACCCAGAGCUUCCUUUGCUUCUCUCUGCUGCUUUGGUUUCAUUAUUGCGAGUACACCCUGCUCUUGCAGACCACGUCGGAUAUCUUGGUUAUGUGCCCAAACUUGUGGCUGCUGUGGCUUAUGAGGGAAGACGAGAAACCAUGUCAACGGAGGAGGUGAAAAAUGGUAACUCUGAAGCAGAUAGAACAUAUGAAUCGGAUGAUGGAUCUGCGCAGCCUGUACAAACUCCUCAAGAACGUGUCCGCCUUAGUUGUUUGCGGGUCUUGCAUCAACUUGCUGCUAGUACUACCUGUGCGGAAGCUAUGGCUGCAACAAGUACAGGAACACCUCAGGUUUGUCUUAUAAUAUCUCACUGCCCCACUCCGCAUCUCUCAAGUUUUGCAGCUUAAGCCUUGCUUGGCACGUCUUGAAAUUCUUUUUCCGUAUAUCUUUUAUUGUUUAGUUUUAAUUCAUUGGACAAUUUUGAGAAUCAGGAACGUAUUAAUUGCAGUUAAUCGUGUUUUUUAUUUACUUUAAAUAUUUUCUUGAUUCAAGGUAUGUCUAGGCUUUGAUCUCAGUAUGGGUUAUUUCGUUUCUUCUGCCUUUGUCACGUGAUCUUGUUCAUUGUUUCGUUCUUGAUAAUUUUCUUUCAG